GCCACGGUAGCCGAGCGGUUAGAGGCGAGACCUGUAAAUUGUUGUUUCUGGGUUCGAUUCCCAGUCUAGGCC
rnacentral:tRNA from 1 species